AGCUAUUAAUAUACAUAUAUUGUCAUACCUUUUUGACAUCUUUCUUUUUUCCAACACAUUAUAGCAUGCAGAAAUGACCUUCGUGGGCUUAUUUGCUACCGGUUUCUAAUUCAAACAUUCCAAUCUAACGAUUCCUGCAAAAUAAAAAAAAAGUGAAUUUUCUAAGUCAAAAAUGGUGUUCCUUAUGUUUACACUAGUGUUCAUCAAUUGAAUGUGUGGUGUUCAGUUUUUAAUGCCUUUGUGUUUCACUUUUGAACACUUGAUGUUAGAGUUAUUUAACACUUAGUGUUCAUCAAUUGAAUAUGUGGUGUUCAGUUUUUAAUGCCUUUGUGUUUCAUUUUUGAACACU
rnacentral:lncRNA from 1 species